AAGGGAGAAGAAUGCCCCGUAGCAAUACGGGACAUGGCAAACGGGUUAUCACACAUUGGUAACCUACCUUGGGGACGAGCAUAAUCCCGCGAAAGCGGGAAUAAUUCUCGAUAAAAGUGGGGGGAUAUAAAUCAUUCCCACUUAAAGUCGCAAGACACCUCAAGAGGGGCCUAUGUCCUAUCAGCUAGUUGGUGAGGUAACGGCCCACCAAGGCUAUGACGGGUAGCGGGUGUGAGAGCAUGACCCGCCUCACUGGGACUGAGACACUGCCCAGACUCCUACGGGAGGCAGCAGUGGG
rnacentral:misc_RNA from 1 species